rnacentral:sRNA from 1 species
GACACCUGAAAUAUCGGUAACGUAGUGUCGGUGUGA